AAUCUCGAACAAGAUCACUAAAUUUCCUUUCCCUAGAUCGAUAAGCUGUUCCCAUUCAGCUAGGGUAGCUAGUGCGUGCGAUAGUUUAUGCACCUGUGCGAUUUAGAGGUUUGCCGCGACCGCCCCACUAACCACCAGUUCGGAAUAGCAACCACUAUAGAGCCACCGCCAGGACUGAAGUAUCCGGCGAUCCACAAGGCCGGAAGAGGGUCGCUACCUUAAUUGUGCGCCCUAACGAGAGAGCAUCCAGACGAGGAGGAUAAGCUAAUCCAGCCCGAUUGCAGCACAGCAUCCAACGCCAACAGCAGGCGCGCGCAGCGCGCUCGAAGCAGCAUCGAGAGAGGGAGAGGAAGGGAUUAACUGAUCCACCAGCAGCAGCAGUGCAGAGCCGAUAAGCAACGUUGGGGACCCAUGUUGGUCCUAGGACAAAAUUGACCAAAUAACGAAGCGGAAGGUAAAACCCACCGAGAGUGGUAGACAGCACUGAGUGAGAACGUACCUAUAAAUAGUCCAUGCGCAUGUGAUCGAAGGUGACCGAAGGUAAGGGCCGCAACCCUAGAAAAUUGAUCGAUAGAUUCGGAUCGGAAAUGAAAGAAGUUUAAACGCACAGUAGGAAGAGAAGUUAGAAGCUUAAAUGGGAAAGGAAAGGGAAAGAUAGACUAGGCCUAGCGAAGAGAAAGAUGAAGUCGAAUGUUUGACGCUAAGAUUGAAAGUUGAUGAAUAAACCCCAAUGUAACUUGUACCACCGCA